UGGGGAAUAUUGGACAAUGGGCGAAAGCCUGAUCCAGCAAUGCCGCGUGAGUGAAGAAGGCCUUAGGGUUGUAAAGCUCUUUCACCCGCGACGAUGAUGACGGUAGCGGGAGAAGAAGCCCCGGCUAAUUCCGUGCCAGCAGCCGCGGUAAUACGGAAGGGGCUAGCGUUGUUCGGAAUCACUGGGCGUAAAGCGCGCGUAGGCGGCCGGUCAAGUGCGGCGUGAAAGUCCUGGGCUCAACCCGGGGACGGCGCUGCGGACUGUCCGGCUGGAGUCCGGAAGAGGGUGGUGGAAUUCCGAGUGUAGAGGUGAAAUUCGUAGAUAUUCGGAGGAACACCGGUGGCGAAGGCGGCCACCUGGUCCGGUACUGACGCUCAAGCGCGAAAGCGUGGGGAGCAAACAGG
rnacentral:rRNA from 2 species